UUUCUCCCACUCAAAUUAAGAAAAUGUUUCUUCACAUCCCACUAGAAUUUUGAGUUAUAAUUCUAACAAAUAUAGUAUGAUUAAUAAUCUUUUAUUAUUUGGUUAGAUGGUAUGAUAUGAUAUGGUAAAAUAAAUAUGAAAAUUACUAAAAUGCCCUUUAUUGUUUUAAAUAUAUAAAUGGUUCAAAGAUAUUUAUUUAAAUGAAAUAUUAAUUUAUAAAUAAUGUUAUCAUAAUAAUAAUAAUUAAAGACAUUUUUUUAAUUAACCACUAAAUAUAUCCUAUAAAUAUAUAAUAUUUCCAUGAGAAAAUGAAUUAUGCAAAGAUAAAAUGGAAAUACAAAAAUUCUAAACCAUCCCAAGCCACCAAAUUAGUGGUUUGAAAAGCUAUGGUAAGAUGAUGGUUAAGAAACCAUCAUUUUACAAUCCAAAUUAUGAUUUUUUUAGGAACAAUCUACUAAAACUUAGAAUAACCAUACCAUACAAUAUGAAACCAUCACAAAUCAUGAUCCAAAUAGUGUAAAUUGACAUGGUAUUCUAGAGAACCAAAGGCAGGGGCAGACACAUAUAGCUUAAGGGGAGCCCUCCCAACCCCACAGCAAGUAACAUAUAAGUAGCAUACAUGUGAAAAUUCUGCUUUCACAGGAUACUGCUAGACACGGCCACCAGACAGGUUCCGGUUCGAACAGGCCCGGAACAAACUGUGAGCCCCACAAGGUUCCAGUUCGAUCUGGUCCAAAUCAAAUAGUCCAGUUUUUUUCAGAUUUUUUUGUUGAAAUUUUAAAUGAAAAAAAAAGGUGGUUUGGCCCUGAACGAUUCGGUUCAUUUACGGUUUGAGUCAAAGAUGGGUUUGACCAGUUCCAAUCCGGUUUCAGUUCUGAACCAGCCCUUGGCCAGGUCUACAUACUUCUAUCUGAAUCUUCAAUAAAUUAACCCAAAAAUGAAACAUUCGGAACAGAAUAAUAAUAGAAUAAUAUCAAUUUCAAUUUCAAACCAAAUCAUGUAAACACUAAACAACCUAGCAGUUUUCUCUGACACUUGCACAUACAGCAAGAAGAAAAGAAAUCACAUUAUGGAGAAAAGCAACGGUAUUUAUUUGCCUCCACUGCCUCUGAACAUUACACAUUUUUUCUGUUGAGCUCUCCAAAUCAUUUUCCAUUGAAUCCUUACCUUUUGGUUUGGUUCUAUUGAGUUUGAGUCUAAUCUUGGUAACUUGGAAAAAUUAAUAAAAAGAGACACCCUACAUAGCAAAGGCAUUAUCAACCACGCCAUCCAAGAGCUAAUGCAGCAUAUGAAAGAUUUUUCUUUUCAUCUUUUUAACACAACUGCCCAUGCAAUUUUUCACCACUCAGACAUGCAAAGACAGCUGUAAGCAAAUGUGUGCACAUGCCAAUAUCACAUAUACAUACAUGUUGAAUCAACAUAAUAAAAUUAACAAUAAACCAAAUGGUGUAGCAAGUACAUGAAUGGUUAACAAGCAUUUUCAAUUCAUGAAUUCUAACAAGGUUUUCAUUUGAGAUGCAUUUGGUAUUUCUCUAUGAGAUGUCUCCAACUGCAUUAACUAUCAUACUUAUACAAAAAUCCAGGAUAUAAGGACACUAUAAAUCACACUACAAACAUAAUAUUCCAAUGACAGCAUUUUUAUGAACAAAGUGAAAGAAAUAGGGCCAAUCAUCCAAGCAUAACAGAUGAAACACCACUCUUCACUCUUCAGUGAUCUACCUUCUUUGCAGGGAAUUGGAAACAGAAUAAUGACCAAAAACAAAAUAUAAAUGGUAACCAAAUUAUUAGCUUUCUCCCAUACAUGUACAUGCAGCAAGAAAAAUUAUGAUAAAAGAAAAGGAUAAUACAAAAUGUAAACAGCAUUAGCACCCAAAAAAAUUAAAAGGCUGGAAUUUUCAAAACAGCUAGCCUAAAGAGCAUCUUAAGGAAUAGCAAAAGCACACUGAUACUUUAAUGCAUGACAUGAAAAUUACACAAGAACAAGACAAGCAGAAACUGAAUCAGAUAAUAAAGCAUGGCAUAUAUUGUAUAUACACACAUGAUUAAGUCAGUAAUUAUAUUAAACAAUAAGAAACAUGAAUAAGCCAUGAACAGAGAAACUACAUCCAUAUCAAAUAACAAAAAACCACUCAAGUACCCAAAAAAACUUACUUUGUUGAAGCCUGCUAUUAAU
rnacentral:misc_RNA from 1 species